AUUUUAGACACAUUGCCCUGACGAACGUAUGGUAUAAGCUUUUUAUGAGUUUAAUUGAAGAAAAGGUAUUAAAAAGUACAUCUGAAAAAAACAAGCGGGAAAUAAAUAAUAUGCAAUUUGGUUUUACAGAGGGUCAGAGAUUGGAAGAUAACGUAUAAUAAUGAAGACAAAAAAAAAAAGAAGGAAGACAUAACUGGUUUUAACUGUUCUUGAUUCUAUGAAGGCAUUUGAUUCCAUCAGUAGAGGUAAGUUAAUAAACAAUGAAGGAAAACAAGUGAUUCUGUGGUGUAAUUAUAUUGUCUAGGGCUUUACGGCGCAAGUGGUUACACAUAUUUGAGAGGUGGCAACAGUGAAAACAUAAGAAGGAAGCAAGGUUAACAUCAGGCGGGGAAUAUUUGAGGUUGUUACGUUGUCUUUUGUCUCUUGGUGUUGGCUCUCAGAUUUUGUGGCAACUCGCUUGCCUUGGCAUGCGGCUUUGGUAUAAUGACAGCAUGCUGGAAGGGGUUUUGUUGUGGGUGUCGCACAAAGCUCGAGGGGUGGCUGGUGAUUCGGUCUGUCAGGGAAUGUCCGUAGCACGAAGCGUGGAGGUGAUUAAGGCCGCUGGUUGUUAUUCCUCCGAGGCAAACCUGGGCAUUUUGGCUGGAGUUGGAGACAUGAAGGGAUUGACACUAUUUCACUUCAGUAAAAAUGCAAACCCUUGCCACGCAGCCCAUAAAGGUUAAAGGACCCCUGGGAAUUGAUUGCACUUGACAUAAAUGGUAGGACAAAUCUAGGAAGAUACUUGCAGAUCAAAGAUAUGAGUUUUGUGCUGUGGUAAGUCAUGCCAAUGUUCUUGGUUUGCUUUAUCAAUUUUGUAUGCAUUCUGAUAAGUUAUCUAUUUGAUUUCUUAUUGCUUUGGCAGUUAUUACUUUGUGGUGUAUAAUAUAUACAGGGAGGUCCCAAUGAGACAAGCAGCUAGGUUCCAUUUGAAUUGCUUGUAUAGCUUAUUUUCAUACAAUAAAACAUGUAGCUAAUGGCAAAAAAAGGGGUUAGGUUCUGGGAUCCUUGCCAAAGUUAAACUUUCAAGCUAAAACAUAUGAUCCCAAAUGCAACAAAUGUGUCUAUAUUACAGAACUGUUGAUAAAGCAACCAGAAAGAGAAAACAACAUACAAAGAACAUGAUUUCAUAUUAAUUAAACAUAUAAAAUAUGUGUAACACUCAUCAAUGUGUAGUUAAUUUGUCAUGGAGGGUAACUUGUUCACCACUCUUGUGCCUCUUAACAAUUUCUACCUUGUUUGUGAGUGCUGUUGGUACUCUAGCUUACUUAGCCUUACUGCUGGGACUUGCACCAGAACUCAUUGGCUGCUUGGGAGGCAUAGUUAGCACUUGAGAGGGAAAAUAAGACACAAUCUAUACACCAUGUGGUCUGUCUCAUGCACACACACACACACACACACACACACACACACACACACACACACACACACACACACACACACACACACACACACACACACACACACACACACACACACA